AACGCUAGCUACAGGCUUAACACAUGCAAGUCGAGGGGCAGCAUUUCAGUUUGCUUGCAAACUGGAGAUGGCGACCGGCGCACGGGUGAGUAACACGUAUCCAACCUGCCGAUAACUCGGGGAUAGCCUUUCGAAAGAAAGAUUAAUACCCGAUGGUAUAAUCAGACCGCAUGGUCUUGUUAUUAAAGAAUUUCGGUUAUCGAUGGGGAUGCGUUCCAUUAGGCAGUUGGUGAGGUAACGGCUCACCAAACCUUCGAUGGAUAGGGGUUCUGAGAGGAAGGUCCCCCACAUUGGAACUGAGACACGGUCCAAACUCCUACGGGAGGCAGCAGUGAGGAAUAUUGGUCAAUGGGCGCAGGCCUGAACCAGCCAAGUAGCGUGAAGGAUGACUGCCCUAUGGGUUGUAAACUUCUUUUAUAUGGGAAUAAAGUUUUCCACGUGUGGAAUUUUGUAUGUACCAUAUGAAUAAGGAUCGGCUAACUCCGUGCCAGCAGCCGCGGUAAUACGGAGGAUCCGAGCGUUAUCCGGAUUUAUUGGGUUUAAAGGGAGCGUAGGUGGACAGUUAAGUCAGUUGUGAAAGUUUGCGGCUCAACCGUAAAAUUGCAGUUGAUACUGGCUGUCUUGAGUACAGUAGAGGUGGGCGGAAUUCGUGGUGUAGCGGUGAAAUGCUUAGAUAUCACGAAGAACUCCGAUUGCGAAGGCAGCUCACUGGACUGCAACUGACACUGAUGCUCGAAAGUGUGGGUAUCAAACAGGAUUAGAUACCCUGGUAGUCCACACAGUAAACGAUGAAUACUCGCUGUUUGCGAUAUACAGUAAGCGGCCAAGCGAAAGCAUUAAGUAUUCCACCUGGGGAGUACGCCGGCAACGGUGAAACUCAAAGGAAUUGACGGGGGCCCGCACAAGCGGAGGAACAUGUGGUUUAAUUCGAUGAUACGCGAGGAACCUUACCCGGGCUUAAAUUGCAUUUGAAUAUAUUGGAAACAGUAUAGCCGUAAGGCAAAUGUGAAGGUGCUGCAUGGUUGUCGUCAGCUCGUGCCGUGAGGUGUCGGCUUAAGUGCCAUAACGAGCGCAACCCUUAUCUUUAGUUACUAACAGGUCAUGCUGAGGACUCUAGAGAGACUGCCGUCGUAAGAUGUGAGGAAGGUGGGGAUGACGUCAAAUCAGCACGGCCCUUACGUCCGGGGCUACACACGUGUUACAAUGGGGGGUACAGAAGGCAGCUACCUGGUGACAGGAUGCUAAUCCCAAAAGCCUCUCUCAGUUCGGAUCGAAGUCUGCAACCCGACUUCGUGAAGCUGGAUUCGCUAGUAAUCGCGCAUCAGCCAUGGCGCGGUGAAUACGUUCCCGGGCCUUGUACACACCGCCCGUCAAGCCAUGAAAGCCGGGGGUACCUGAAGUACGUAACCGCAAGGAGCGUCCUAGGGUAAAACUGGAA
rnacentral:rRNA from 1 species